UAUGCUAAUAGUGAUCGCAUCAUUUGUUUCAAUACAUUAACAAUUUAAACUGUGAAUCUUUUAGGCUGCAUAAUACGAAAAUUAACCAACAUUUUCCAUUUUAUUGACUUAUUUAAGAUUUUAAUUGCAUAUUUCUGUGUUUUUUUUUUAGACAUUUUUGAAUGGAUAAGUGUAUUCUUUUCAGUAAAACAUCCAAAGUGUCGCCUCGCCAAAUUACGUACAUUUUCAUUUAUUUCCAAAAAAUCAAUGAAAUAGAAGGAAAUAAUGGCUAAGAAUGUUCGAAUUAAAUGAUUGCCCCAAUAAUUUCUACCUGACGUGGAAUCUGCGGUAGGUAAUCAUUUCACAAUUAUUAGUGGUAAACAAAGUUCAGUAAAUUAGUAAACACGGUCAGAGGCUGUCUCAAAACAUAAUCCAAACCACUUGUCUGGGAUAGAGAAGUAAAACAAAUGUUGGUGAUUCACAGGAAUAUUGGUACUACCUACUCUGCGCACGACUAGUAAAUCGCAACUAAGAGAAAAUGUUGUUUCUCCAACGAUGAGUUAGAAGCAAAUGAACAGACGAAUAAACGAUUUGGAGGCCAUGAUUUUAAUUCACCCAGAAAAGCCUUAGAUACCCGAAAAUGUCUAAUUCACACACACUCAUGGGAUUAUAAUACUUAUAAUGUUUUUUCAAAACUGAAAUAUAUGAUGUACCACAUACACGGAACUGCGAAGUGGAGCCAAUGCAUUGACAAAUUUUCAGACGUUGACUUUCUUGGAGAUAAUUCUACCGACUCGGAUGAAGCCAUACAAUAUCGGAGAGAAUUAUGAAACUUAAAGGUAACACAAUUUUGCUGAGCACGAAUCCAAUUUUAAUAACGCGGCGGGCUUCAACAUAUUUAUAUUGCAAAGAAACACAGAACUAGUUUGGACAUUGGUAUCUUUUCUGAAGGGAAAGUGCAUCUAGUUGGAUGCGUUAAACAGGUUGUCAUACCCGUUCCCAUUAGCAACGAGGAGAGACAAACUUCUUUGAAAAAACAUUAUGCAAUUACCAAAA
rnacentral:lncRNA from 1 species